rnacentral:rRNA from 1 species
AGAAGCAGCCAUCAUUUAAAGAAAGCGUAAUAGCUCACUGGUCGAGUCGGCCUGCGCGGAAGAUGUAACGGGGCUAAACCAUGCACCGAAGCUGCGGCAGCGACACUAUGUGUUGUUGGGUAGGGGAGCGUUCUGUAAGCCUGCGAAGGUGUGCUGUGAGGCAUGCUGGAGGUAUCAGAAGUGCGAAUGCUGACAUAAGUAACGAUAAAGCGGGUGAAAAGCCCGCUCGCCGGAAGACCAAGGGUUCCUGUCCAACGUUAAUCGGGGCAGGGUGAGUCGACCCCUAAGGCGAGGCCGAAAGGCGUAGUCGAUGGGAAACAGGUUAAUAUUCCUGUACUUGGUGUUACUGCGAAGGGGGGACGGAGAAGGCUAUGUUAGCCGGGCGACGGUUGUC